GAAUUAUUCAAUUAACAAAUUUGACUACAUUUUAUCACUAGUUUUACAUUGUCUAGAUUUCUUAACCUAUAAUGAGGAAUACAGCAGAGUUGCAAUUACCGAUUUCAAUGGCAAGGGCAGAGAAAGCAGAGCAACCAGGUCCACCAGUGAGCCAAAGCAUGAGAGGAUCUUCCUUUGGAUUGUUUUCUGAUUCAAUGAAGUAAUAAAACACUUGCACAUCCUCUUUUUCACCAACUCCCACAUACCUUAUCAACAAUAUAUUAAUAUGAAUACAUUGAAACAAAAACUCAAAAAGCAUCAACUAUCUAUAUAGCUAAGUAAAUAAAUCUGACCCUGUUUCAAGCAGAAAAGGAAGUGGUCCAUUGAAUCCAGGGAGAAACUUGACUAUGGAGCCACAUGUUGCAACUUGAAAGGAAAUAUUUGAUAAUAAAAGAACAACAAAAAUAACCUUUCCAAAAGGGUAAUCAUGAUGAGUAUCCUUUGCCAUCUUUUAUGUUGUUGAUGUCAACGGAAGAGUGUUGCAAGCACACUAUAUAUAGCAUUUUUCAUUGUCAUUUUCUUUCUUUGAUUUUAUUUUUCUCAAAGAGUAAAAAUUGAUUUCAAAUAAGGUGAAAAAUGCCACAUUGAAUGAAGAUAUGAAUAGAGGUAUAGUGGUUAAGAAACGGCCACGUCUGUAGAAUUCAAAUGUCAUUAAUGAUAUGAUGCAGUGCAUAUUAACACGUAAAUAAAUAAUGGUCACGUACAAGGAAAAGUAGUUGCGUUGCACCUACUUGACUAUGGACUCACUCACAAACAAUAAUCAAGAUAUUUAUUUCUUGAGAAUUACUGUUUUUUUUUUAAUUUAAAAAUAAGUUUUGAAAAAUGAUAUCGAAGAAAUUAUCGAAUCAAAUUGUGGACUAAGGUUCUAUUUGAUAAAUAUAUUGUCUAGUUAAUAAGUUAGCUGAUAGUUUAUAACUUAUGAUUGAUGGCUGAUGACUAAUAGUUUAUAGUUUAUAGUUGGUGACCGAUGACUUAUAGCUAAUUAAAGUGUUUGGUAAAAUUAACAGUUUAAUUAAUUGAUAAAUUAAAAUGACAUAGAAGAUAUUUAAUAUAUAAUUGUUUUUAUUUAAAUUAAAAUAAAUUAUAAAGGAUAUUAAUGGAUUUUAAUUAAAAUAAUAAGAACAAAAAUGGAAGAGAAAAAUGAUAAGCAUAAGCUAAAAUGCUACUCCCUCCGUCCUACAAUGAGUGACCCAUUUAGAAUAAAAGAGUUUUCCAAAAUGAAUGAUCAUUUAAAAUAAUUUCUCAAAUGUGGAGGAAUACUAAAAGUGAAAAUCAAGUUUGUUUUGUAGGAAUUUUUUGAAGCUUUAAAUGAAGUCCUUAGUGCAAAUUAAAUGAAGUCGUGCAAAGAUGUACACCUUUGAAUAUACAAGAUAUGCCAGACGAAUUUUAAUUUUUAUCAUCCACGUAUAUUUGUUGAUGGUGUAUUUCAAGGGAUGUGAUCAAAUGAAUUUUCGUUGAUGAUGAUUUUCAACAUUUGUAAUGAUCCGUGAUGAUCAUUAAACAUCGUACUGAGAUAAUAAGUCUAUAGUGGAUUUAUUAGUCUCAUUGUUUAAACCAACUCUCGUAUCACACGAUUCGUAAAUAAUGAUUUAAUGCAUUAUUUUGUCAUUUUCUCAAAAGGGGAAGUUUUUAUCAAGGGUACAUGAUAUUUAAGGUAAUAAACUUUUUAGAGGUUGAAAAAUGGAAAUUUUGAUUAACCUUCUAAAUAAAUGGUUUAUUAUUUGCUUAUCAAUUAAAAAAAUUAUUAUUACUAGUGAAAUAUUUAAGAUUCUAGCAGUUUUGGAGAAAGGGGUCCAAUCUAGAACAAAAAGGGUGUCAAAAAGAAUAUGCCAAAGUUUAAUCUUAACCCAAGGCCCAAAAAAAUUAAGGAGGAUGAAACAAAGAAAAAUAAUCAAUUAUAUGCCUUAUACAUUUCAAAUUUUAAUUGAAAUUAGAUUGUAUCUUUGCCUCAAAGCAAAUCCAGACAAAACAUUAAUGUAGAAAGCAUUAAAUUCUCAAAAUCAUCAUCAAAUAAUUGAGUAGGCCUCAAAUAUAAUCGAUUAGAAGACAUGUUUUGAAAAAUUUUGGUUUUGAUAUUUUUAGGUCAAAUCUUCAAGGAUUUUUUGGGAGUUUUUACACGUCCAAACUGUCAUACCCCAAAAAUUUCCCUCCCAUUUUCAUCUUUUCAUUCAAUCCUUGACUUAGGAAUCAUCUGUAUACACUCAUGUCUCAAUCAUAUGCAUCAUUCAUCCAAUAAGUUGAUCACUAUAGAUUCAAAGCUCUUGGCUUGUAAACUAGGGUUUGUGUGUGUGUGUUAAUUUUCAAAGGCAUGACAUUGACUAUUCAUUUGGACAUAUGGGAUGUAAAACCCUAAUUGCAUGGUCUAUUGAAGCAUGGAUUCAACAAGAUUUCAUCAUGGCACUCCUCGGGGAUUUCAAACCAUGGUUUCUUGAUGAUAUGGAUAUGGGACCUUAUGAUUGUUCUCCGGGCCUUAUCUUGGUUGUCAAAACCCUAAUUGAGGCUUAUAUAUUAGAGAUUUGCUUAUAAAGCAUCUUGAUUCAUUCAAAGGCUUUGUUUGAGGGGUAUGUCUAAUUGAAACCCUAAUUAGGGAUAAUUGGUAUUCAGGUGUCUUGUUUGGUUGACUUUUUGACUUGGGAUUCAUCAAAACCCUAGUUGAUAGAUGCUUAAGGUCUUAAAGAUUUCAUCUUGGUCCCAUUUCACACCAAACCUUAAUCCUUGAUCUACAGGUUUGUAAGUCCCGUGGCUUGCAUUAAGGUGUUGGAAACCCUAGCCGUGAUUCAUGAUAUUGGUGCACUACUUGUGUUGACUUCUCACUUGGCUUGAGAUGCUUGGUUGAUACAUAACCUUGAACUUUGACCUAGUCAACCCUAAUUCAAUUGGAGGAGGUUGUUAAUCAUUAUGUCAUGCAUCAUGUCAUCAUUGAACUUUCUUGGGAAAUUUGAAUCAUCCAUUUAACUUACAUGUCCAUAUGUUUGGGGAUUUCAUCUGGUUCAAGCUUUUGUUCAAAGCAUUCAUACAUAUGCAUUCCUAAUUCAUUGAUUCUAAGUCUAUGGUGCUUUCAAAUUCACAGGUCUUUGGUCUUUGAAUUCAUGUUUGCAUUGGUGCGUUGAACUUUGAGCCAUUGAUGGUUCUUGAUCCAUUAUAAUUUAUAGGGGCAUUUGUUCUUGAUUCAUCCAUUAAUCUUGGUCCAUUUGGUUCAUGUGUUAUCAUGUGCUCAUGAUCAUUAUGAUUCAAUGGACUAAGGUGAUUAUUUCAUUCAUAGAUCAUUUUGGUUUUGUUAAAAGUCAAGUCUUGUUUUACAUACAAUCAUGUUUAUUUCAUCAAAGCAAUUGAGUUUUCAUUCAUUCAUAAAGAUAUACACUGUCCAUUACAAAAGAGAAAAAAAUACAAUUUUUACAAUGGUUGACUUUUUAGUCAGUGUUUGACUUUUUGGUCAACCAGUUGGCCAAAGUCAACCAACCUAUUUUUACUUGAUUUAAGCCCUAAUGCUCAUUGUAUCUUCAUUGUUGCACCUUUCCAUGUGAUUCCAUGAUCAAUUUCUUCAUGAACAAGAAAGCCACAUUUUGCAUCAAGAUAUGGUCAUUUGUCAUGCCUUGAAGCAUUGCCUUGAAACCAUGACUAAGACAACAACUCUGCAUUCACAACAUGCUAAUAAGUAAACAUUGCACAUUCAUGAUUCUAGUCUUAGCAAAACACGAAGCAAAACCAAGGUAAGAGACAUCACAAAGUCAGAAUUGAUGAUAGCAAUGCACAAUAUCAUACAUGCUGCAAAAACUAGUGCAAGAACAUUGGCCAAGUUUGAGCCUUGCCAUGAGCCUAUGCAUACCAUGGAGUAGCCCAAAACACACUUGCAGAAUCACCACACAAAGCAGAACCAUGGUCUAAAUCAGAAUUUGCAAACCAGAAUGAGUGAACCUCCUGGACAUAACAUCAUACCUGCUAUCAUAACCUAGCAAAACAUACCAAAGUGAAGUCUGCACACAAGCUAAGCCACCAUGAACCCGAGCCUUCCAACCUGCACAAACCACUGCAUAACACAAUUCAAUAACAGUCCAGUCAAUAGUAACGCCUUCAGUUCAAACAUUGACCAUAUCCAUAUCUUUCAGUUUGACAACAAUACAAUCCAACUAACAUUGAUUAGCAUGACAUUCAAUCAACUUUUGUUUUAGUAAUUACAUUGACUCAAAAUUAAUCCAAAGCAGUCUAAGCUAAUAAUCAACAACAUUUGAGUUUUCUAUACAUUCAAUCAACUUUUGUUUUAGUAAUUACAUUGACUCAAAAUUAAUCCAAAGCAGUCUAAGCUAAUAAUCAACAACAUUUGAGUUUUCUAACAGAAAAAACACUUCCAAAUUAGUGUAAUAUGUCUUGCUUCAAGAAACUCAUUAACAGAAGGCAAACUGCACUAACACGAGGGGCUUUAAUUCCUUCUGAUCGUUGUCUAAUUUGCAUUUCAAGAUCCAUGGUUCAUGUGUGAUUGGAUUCAGUUAAUGUUCUACGCACGGUUUUGGUUGAAAUUGAUUGGGGAUUUGAAUUGGGGAGGAUGAUGCGGUUCAUGGGAUGGUUAAGAUUUUGAUUUAGGGUGGCCACCGCCGCUGGAAGCCAUUUCCAACGCAGAGGUCCACGGUGGUCGUGAUUGAACAAUGACCUAAGCUGAGGAUAUGGGCAGGGCGCGCACAUUGUAGUUCAGUUUUAAAUUCAAAUGGUGACUUCAUUUUCCACGAGUACAUUUGACUGACCGCAUUCAAUUGCUCACGUGCUUGUUCAACUAGUUGUGAUUCUAUUGGGCCCUUGGAUGUGGCCUUGUUUGGCUUUACUGAGAUUUCAUCCCUUUUUACUUCUGCAACCCCCAUCAACCAAGAUAUUGUUACAUUGGGCCAGUAGCUCAGGCCCAACUGCGUUUUCUGCCAGGCAUGCCCAUUGUACAUGAUUAACCAUAACUUUUAAUUUAAUUCGAACCCUUUGAUUUAAGUUGAUCAAAAGAAAUUUUGAUUAACUAAAUCCUUUGAUUCAUGUAUAAUCUCACAGUCUAUUCAAGUGAUCAAAAGUUCUUUGAUCACUUGAUAAGACUAUUUAUGUAAAGUUAUGGUUCUCAAGGCCUCAAGUUCAGACUUUCAUGCAAGGCAUCCAAAACAAAUCAAGUAGUGGAUUAUACAAGACAUAUCAAAGGUGAUUCUUCAAGAGCUUGUUAGUCAAGAUCAAAAUUGUAUGACAUGAGCCUUAAGAAAUAGGGAAUGAAUGAGAGUUGAGAAUUUCAUUAACUCAUUCUGAAUAUCUUUGGGUACGGGACGAAUGACCUAGUUGCUCAUCGUAUUCACCUUUAUUCAUAAAAUUUAACACAACUCAAAUCAUACGAUUGUCAAGUCUCUCAUUCUAAAGCAACAAUGAAAUAAUCAAAGGUCUUCAUCAACAACCUAUCAAUCAUAAAUUCAACGUCUUUCAUUAGAAGGCCAGUUAAAGGUUUGGUUAUCUUAGAGAAGUCCUUGAUAAAGCAUCGGUAGAAACCGACAUGUCCAAGAAAACUCCGGACUUCCCUAACUGUCUUAGGUGGUUGGAGAUUUUCUAUAACCUCUAUCUUGGCUUUGUCAACCUCAAUGCCUCUUUCAGAUACUAUGUGUCCUAACAUUAUACCUUCGGUGAUCAUAAAAUGACAUUUCUCCCAGUUUAGAACGAGGUUCACUUCCACGCAUUGUUCUAGAAUUCUUUCAAGGUUAGCUAGGCAGUUUUUAUAAUUGGACCCGCAUACCGAGAAGUCGUCCAUGAAUACUUCCACGAUCUCGUCAAGGAAAUCUGCGAAGAUCGACAUCAUACAAUGUUGAAGGGUAGCUGAGGCAUUGCAAAGUUCGAAUGGCAUUCGUCUAUAGGCAAAUGUUCCAUAAGGGCAUGUAAAAGUUGUUUUCUCUUGAUCAUCGGGGUGAAUAGGAAUUUGGAAAAAUCCAGAGUAUCCAUCUAAAUAAAAAAAGUAAGAAUGUCUAGCUAGACAUUCAAGCAUUUGGUCAAUAAAUGGAAGAAGAAAAUGGUCUUUCCUAGUUACUUUAUUAAGUUUUCUAUAAUCGAUGCACAUACGCCAAUAAUUUUCUAUACGUUUAGCUAAUUUGGUGUUGCUGGAUAUCGAACCUAAAACCUAUAAAUAUUUCACUAUGGUUGUUCAAUAGAACCGUGGUUAUAGGUAGCGCGCUUUUCAGUUUAUUACAACGGAUGAUAGACCGUGGUUGUAAAUAUCACACUUAGAACCACAUACUACCUAAUAAUAGAAGUUCAACUAUUAUUAUAUAUUUUUAUGAACCGUUGUCAUAAGUAUUUUUUAUGGUAGUGUAUAAAAGAUUAUUAAUAUUCAAUUCCCACUAAAAUAAAAUAAAAUGAGAUUGUAAAGAGUGACUAUCCUUAUUCGUUAAGAAUGGAUCAAACUCAAUAUAAAUAAAAUAAUACUUAAAUACAACAAUUAAAAAAAUAACAAAAGUACAAUUUCUCUUAAUUGAAUCUUCAAAAAAAUGUGUAAUUCCAUUGAUUAAUUAAAAGUGCAACUUGAAAUAAAGAUCCCAUUGUUGUUAUCUUUAGAAUAGUAAAAGACAUGGAUACAGUUGCUAUAUAAUAUGCAAAUUCAAGCGAUACAUAUUUAUUUGCAAGUUUAUUUUUAUUUAUUUCUAUAAAGUCUUGUUAGAUAUCCACCUACUAAACAUGUCAAGACAUUCUUUAGGCCGAUACUCCGGAGCUGUGUGUCCUCCACCCUGAAAAUUUCUUCAAUCAAUAAUUGUGCAAUGAAACUAGAUGAUUCUUAGUGCAUGAUAAAGGAAUUGAAUGGGUAAACAUGUUAAUUUAGCGCCUAUAGUACAAACACUUGUAAACAAAAAUAAAGUAAGAACAAUCAACGAGUGCUUAAUAUUAAAUUUUUAAGCCACGUGACUGAACUCUACCAACAAUUUUGUAGUUGUAUCUUUUGAAAUAUUAAGUGUUGAAAGAGAAAAUGCAUUUUUUUAUAGUUUCGUGUUUUUUCAUCGAGCGGACGACGGCGGCAAAGCUACAGAUUAGCGAUAGCUCUAAAAUAUGUUUGGCGGAGGCCAUUGUUGGUGGCUGGGUCUCCUGCCAUGUCAAUUCGAUUUGCAGAUCGCAUCAGUAAUGAGUCAUGUUUUGGUCCAAAAUUGGAUAUCUAUGUUUUUUGUAGUUAAAGAAAUAUGGUUUUAUGACACAUUUAUUAAUAAGAAAGAAAUAGGAAAGAAAUGGUAAUUCUAAUGAAAGAAACUUAUUCAAGAUUGCAAUUUUGAUGUGGAUCAAACUUGAAUCGGUGUAUAUAAUAAACUACUUACAAAUUAUAUUUGGAAAAAAAUUAUAUUUAUUUUGAAUGGUAGAAAAUAAAAUGAAGCAAAUGAUAAAAUUUCAAAAGAUCAUUGAUGAUAUGGAAAAUAUUAAGGUGAAUAUUGAUGAUAAGGAUAAGAACCUACUAUUGUUAAUAAGAGUGUUCAUGGGUGCGGAAUGACUCACAAAUCCGUUGACCCAAACUAACACAAUCCAUAAAUUAUUCGAACUCAUCCAUUUAUGGGUAUACUCAACUCAACCCAUAACAACCCGUAUAGUUUUGAUUCGAGCAUCGGGUUUGAGUUUUGCAACCCGCCGACCUGUUGACUCAACCUAUUGAUAUGACUUUAGUAAUUUCUUAUUAUUUUAAAUAAAAAUAUAAAAUUAAUAUCUUACUAAUAACCAUAAUUUUUCUUAAAAAAUGUAUUCUCCACCAAUACUACUACUAGACCAAUGAGUUUACGUAAUUCUAAGAUUAAAUGUUGUUUCUUAUUUUCUUUUGUAUCAUUUCCAACUUAUGUAUUUUAUUGCAAUAAUGUGCCUUGUUGAAUUUUAUACUAUUAUAAAGUGUUAUGUCGAAUUGAUGAAUUUUAUUAGAUAUUAUAUGAUGUGUUUCAUUGAAUUUGAGUGUUAUAAAUACGUAUGAUUGCAUUGAGUUGUGUUACAUUUUUUUAAAACCGAAAAAAAGGAAUCAUAAAAAAUAUAUUUUUUAUUUGAAACACAACCCGCGAAUCCAACCCAACUCAACCCAUUAAUGAACGAGUCGGUUCGUGUCGGUUUUGACAAUGAAAUUGCGGGCUGAACGACGAAUCCAACCCAUUGAAUUUUGAACGGAUUGGGUAACGAGUUAGGUCAAACCCGGUCCAAUCCAACCUGCGUACAUCCCUAAUUGUUAAGAUUAUUAUACAUAUCUUUUGAGAAUUUUAAGGAUGUCCUUCUUUGUAAUAAAGAAUGUAAUAUCACCUUGGAUGAAGUCCAAAUGGCUGUGAGGUUCAAUGAAUCUUUAAAGAUAAAAGUUUUGAAGGUUUAUGAUAUUAGUCAAUGCUUGAGUGCAAUAUUUUAAAAAUCGAAUCAAAACAGAUAAAAACAAGUGAACCGAUUGUUUUGGAAAACCAGCGGGUUAAAUGCUUGAUUUUUUUUUCUCAAACAUAACGACGUUGUUUUUGAUAAAAAAAAAAUUAAAAUUAAAAUUAAAAUAUAAGUAGACUUUGUUAAAAAUUUAUUUGGAACACAUUUUCCUCCUUAUAAAUUUAUUAGACAUUGCCAAUUAUUUUGUUCUUUGGUUUAUGUUGCAAUUAGAAUUUGUUCAAAAUUUAUUUAGAUUUGUAUUUUGUUGUGUGAUAUGUUUAAAAUUUAAAUUUAAAUAAUCAACUUUUGAAAUUUAGAGAAACAACUUUUGAAUUUAAAGAAACAACUUUUGAAAUUUUGAACUUUUGUAAGUCUUGUGACUUUUCUAAAGAUCGAGUCAUCUGGUUUGAUCAAUUUAAUAACUAUAUAGUUUUGUUAUAGAGAUCGGAUUAUUCAAUCAAAUUAUCUGGUUUGAUCCUAUUUAGCCAUGUCGUUAGACCAGUGACCCAUUGGUUCGACCAAUGAACCAGUGACUCAGUACUCUCAUCCGUUUGAUGACGGGUCCGAUUUUUAAAAUAAUAUUUGAGUGUCUCAAGUGGUGGGAGUGGUAGUAUAAUAAAGUUCAAGGGUUUUGAUAGGUCAAGGGUAAAAUUCUUUAUUUUCAUAAAACCAAUCACUUUAAAAAGGAUUACCUCGAGAAAAAGGACAAUGAAGAUUUUGUACAGGUUGCAGUUGUCUCAGUUAUGGAUGGAUAUAAGAGUGUUUGUGCACUAGUGAUGUAAAAUUUUGAGAAUAAAAAGACUUGGGCCAUGGACUCAAUAUUCUCUUAUCACACGUGCCCAAGGAAAACAUUAUUUAAGACUUUGAAGCUGGAAGAAGGUGGAGUCGUUCGAUUCGCUGACGAUAAGUCUUACAAGGCUCAUAGUUUUUUGUACGAUCAAACUUAAAAUGUCAAAAGAUCAUAAGUUCCUUCUACAAAAAAAUGAGGUAUAAUCAUAAGCAUGUUUAAUGAUCUAACCUAUUGAAAUAAAGUUGAACAUAAGGCGUUCGAAAAUUUUCAUAGUGGAUUGAUGAUGGAUAAACGCUCUAAAAUAUAUGGGUUAUAUAUUUUAGAAGGUUCCAUUAUAUUUGGUCAUGCAUCAUUACUUAGUUAAGACUUUCACGACAAGAACAAGAUAUGAUAUUUGAGAUCAAGGAAUUUUAAAGAAAGAAGAACUAACAAAUGCGUGGAUGUUAUUUUAGAAAUUUUAAAUGAGUUUUAAAUGAAACAAGGUAUAAAGAAGGAUAUAUUUGUUGCUGGAAUGCUAGGAGUCAGGGUUCAAAAAAGUUCUCAUAUAAGGCUGGUGCCAAAGCAUCUAACCUAAUUGUAAGAUGUUUAUUCACAUAAGUAGACUUCAUGACAACUAUGGAGGUUUGGAUUAGGAACUUGAAAAUUACUCUAAUUUGAAGGUCUUAAAAGUUGUUUCAUUUGUACAAAUCAAGAUAGAAUAGUUUAAUGGUAAAACUCUAAAGUGUGUCUUAAUUGGUUAUCCAAAAGGAAAGAAUAACUAUCAUUUUUGGAAGGUGGAACUUGGAGGAUUAAAAUUCAUCAUAAUCAAGAUUGUAACUUCAAUUAGACCCAUUAAGGGAUGAAAUGUAAAGACCUGAAAUUGAGAGACUAAAAAACUAUGGUGGAAAAGACUCAACAUACAAUGAAUCUUUUUCUAUGAAGACUAGAGAUGAGGAAUAUGCAAGGCUUUGCUUCUAGUUCUAUUAAUGAGAAAUAUAUAGUGGCUUUUGAUUAUAAUUUGACUCAUGAUAGGAUAAGGAGGGAAAGUUUACCAUCUCAUGGAUAUGGUUAUGUCGGCUUUAAUUGUUAUGCUUUGAACGUGAGUUAAGGGUUGUAAAGCUCAUAAUCAAAUGCCUUAAGGGAAACAUUCAAAAUAAAGGAGACUUAAAUAUGUUUGAAGGAGAUGAAUGAUUCAUUAAUUCAAGAACCAUGAUUGUGGACUUAUGAGAAUACCUUAAAAAUAAAAAUUUGUUUGAUAGAAGUGGAUGAAAGUGCCUAGAUCAAGGUUUAAGCAUUCCUUGCAUUUGAUCAAGUUUGUUGAAUAAUGAUUCGAGCUUUAGAGAUGACAACAAGGUGAUUGAUAAUUAAAUUUACAUCACCAUAUGUUGAGUCAAGGUGUAAAAAUGAAAAGUAUGUUUCAAUAUCCCUAGUGAUGAAGAGAAAAAGCAUUUUUGGUUAUGUCAGAUUUUUCUCGCGAGUAGGCAAUUGCAGUGGAGUCAUGGAUCAGUGAUAUUGCUAGAAUUCGGCAUGAGGAUACUUAUGGUCAACACUCUAGGUGAUGUCGGUCAGGUCACAAGUCCUUGUGUUUACAUGUAUGAAGCUAAUGAUCCUGGUAUUGUUGACAACCUUGAUGUUUUGAUAACAACAAUAAUAAUGCUUGUUGAAGUUGGUGGUGAUAUCUUUCCAACUCUCGGAUGAUGGUGAUUAACUUGAAGUAUCUCAAGCCUCAUUAAGUAAAAUAUUUAAAGUUCAAGUAAAGGGCUUAUCUGAUCGGAGUAUAUGGAAAAGGAAUUUGAGACUUCAAAGUUGUGAAAUAGAGGAAGUAUGAAAGCUUACCUGGUCGUGUCUGUUUGAGUUACCAGAGUCUUGUGAAAGUAGGAAAGUAAGUCCUAAGAUCUUAAGAAAACUCACAUACAGACACAAACACGCUUAAAAAAACCCUUUUAUGACCUUUCUUUAUUUUCUAAAAACAACCGAAAACAUUUUGAAGUCCUAGCUAACUGAUUAAGGGGUUGUCUUAUCAAUUAGAGGACUUUUUACAAUUAAAUGAUCAAUUAAACCUAAUCAUCUAAUUAAUCAUUUUUAUCUUGUUGAGUAUAAAAUUGAUUGAGACAAUAUCUUAAUGAUUGGGACAAUAUCUUAAUGAUUGAUAACGACUAAAUAUCAAAACCUUACAAUUUGUGGCUUGAACAAUCAAUUAUUCAAGGAUAAAAAUCGUCUGGCCUAACCGAUUAUUCAAUUAAUUCUUCCCAUGGAUUGUUUCAUUUUUUAGACUCAUUUUCUCAUAUAUGAAGGAGGUCUCUCCUCGUUUGAAAUCACACAUGAAUUUAGAGUUUUCCUAUUUCUUACUAUUUUAGUACUCUCCUCCUUUCUCACUGAUAUUUUCUUUCACCAAAGUUGUCUUAGUGUCUUGUGAGUGAAAACUACUUGUGAGGAAAGUGUUGUACUAAUGUAGUUUUAUUUUUUAUUUCAAGAGUGUGAUUCUUUUGAAAAUUCCUAUUUUGCUUCUAGAGAUAAACCAGUGAAAAUCUUCUUUUGUUUAUAGAACUCAAUCCGGUAAAAGUUCUGUUUGGUUAUUAAGAUUAGUCGGAAAAAAUGACUACUUGGUUUGUAAGCUCAGCCCAUGCAAAAGCUCUUGUUUUGUUUGGAGGAUAAACAUGUGUAAAGUCUCUCGAUUUGUUUGUAAUAAGGUUCGUGGGCAUAACAUGUAAAACCUCAAGAUUACUAUUAAAACUCUCAAGAAAAUCUCUUGGGAACAAAAGUAGACCAACAUUCGGCCGAACCUGUAUCAAUAUCGGUGUCAUCUCUUUAACCCUAUCUCUUUACUUUAUUAUUUUGUUUCAUUAAGCUGCUUUCCUCUAUGCUAUUUCAAUACUAACAUAAUUUGGUAUUUUAAGUUAACUAUUUUUUUAAUUAAUCACGAAUUUUAAAUACCACAAUUCACCCCUCCCUUUAGUGUUUGGAGUCACUUAGUCAAUAGUUGUGGGACAUGUCAGUUUGGUUUCGAUAAAGGGUCAUGUUUUGGGUCCGGAUUAGAUAUAGAGGGUUCGAUAGUUAUAAAUAUGGGUUCUAUGUCACUUUUGUUAGUAUGAAAGAAAUAGGAAAGAGGUGGUAAUCUAGGUUAUAAGAGAGAAGCAUGAAUAAGAAUUAAUAGGAUUUAUUGUUCUACGAAUUUGAUAGACCUUUUGGGAUAUCUAAAUGGAUUGAGAAACACUUCUAAACAUAUUGGUUUGAGUGAUUCAUCUAUUGAGAGUUGGAGAUAUUUGAAAACAUUUGGAUAGAAAAUAAAAUUUGUUCUUGAGAACUUGAAACACAAUUUUCUUACAACUCAUAUGGCAAUCUCUUAUAAUAACUCAUAAAAUAUAAUGAAUUAAGGAAAUGCUCUUUUCCCUGAGUAUAUAAGUUUAAUCGAAUUAGAUAAACAAAUUCUACAUAUUUUUUUUUUUGUCUUUUAUCUUAUUUUUGUUCACGUGGAUUUUCUAGCACUCUUUUGUGUGCACAUUGAUAUUUCUUAUGGCUAUUUAUUUUGAUUGUAGUUGUACUUUUCUCCACACAUUAAUGUUCUUUGGGUGAUUGAUAUCAUUAUAUUUCACAAGAUAUUCAUAGACUAAUCAAGUGAAAUAUGUUUACGCAAGUGAAAAUAUGUGUACGUAAUUGUAGUUAUAGAAAUUUAAAAACAAUAGUCUUACCUUCACAGUUGCAAAUGUCAUUUGAUUAGAGUAGGCCCGUGUAUAUCUGCACAUAGAAAAUUAAAAAAAAAAUGUUAAUCCAACUUAUUAAUAAACCAUUUAUUUUUAAUUAUUAUUUAAAACAUAAUUAGAAUUAUGUGAAUACCCUGCAACUUGGUCAUUUGCAUACCACUGUCUCCAGUCAUCAACAAUGGAAUAAUUUAAAGAUCUUAUCCAAGCUUGUGUCCCCAAGAAUGGAACUAACAGGUCAUGAUCUCCACUAUUAUAAUAAAUAUACAAAAUUUAUUACCACAAGAAAUCAAUACUACAAAGUUCAUCUUAUGAAAUAUAUGAGCAUAGAGAAAUACUACUGACCUGUAAAUUAGUGAGCGAAUGCCCUUUUUACUGAGAUUUACAUGAUAAUCAUAACUGUUAAAUAUAUCUUUCUCAUGAGGUAUAUUAAAGGUACAACGAGACCAUUUUCCCAUACUACCCUGCAACACAUGCAACCAACAUAACUAGUAAAGAAUGUUCUGCAAUAGUGUGAAAUUCUGUAACAUAUUAUAAAGGAGAUAACAACUCUAUACCUUACGUAUGUGCAAUGCUUUACGAACAUUGUCAUCAUUGGCCCAAAUACCGCAAAGAAAAUAUGGAUAACUCUAAGGGUAGAAAGAAAGGAAACAAACAUCAACUUAAACAAAGUAUUUUGAAAUUUAUAUAUUAAGAUUAUCAUUGCAAAUUGCAUUCCAUAAAUAUAUAUAUAUAAAAAAGAAGAAUUACUCGACAACUCGACGAAGGCAAUCUGAGAUUUGAAGUGAGGAAGUUGGAGGGAUAUUUAAUUAGAGAUCUCCUCUGAAUUUUUUGAGUAUCAUCAAGCCAUUCACAUCGUGGGUCUAAAAUAUGAGCUGUAUUAAGUCCUGAUAUAGCCUCUUCAAAUAAUCUGAUAUCUUUAGAACAUAAGAUACUUCUGCUUUCUUCAUUUAUAUAAUCGCCUUUACAAUUUAUUUGGAGUGACUACAAAAUAUUACAGAUUAGUUAGUUUUGAAUGUGUAUUAAGGAAUUAAAAUUCAAUUUUGAAAUUACUUUAUAUAAUUCAUCUGAUAUGAGUCCCAUUCCAUGAGCAAAAGGGAUUGCAUAAUUGUUUUCCUUCCUAGUUGUCAUAGCAUUCCCCAACAAAUAUCCCUGAAGAAGCCAUUCGAUGAUAUAUUAUUUGUUCCACAUAAUGCAUAAUUUAGGAUGCACCAAUUAAAAAAAUUAACCUGAAGAUUAAUCCAAGGCUGGACACCUUUUUCAUUUGCUGCAAACAAGGAAAUUUGUGAAUAAUUUCAUUAAAAUUUUCAAUAUACAACAAAUGAAUAACAACAUAAUAGUAUUACAAUAAGCAACGAGUUUUGCACCUUGUAUAAUUUCUUGAGCAAUUACUGGAAGAGGGAUGCCAGAGUAUGAAUCACCGCCAAUGUAAAUUUUAUUUGAUUGAAAUUUUGGAUGAUCAACUAACCACUGCAAAUAUUUAUAACAUGACUUUCGCUCUUUUUUUACUGAUUAUAAUAAAUAAGUUUUAAAAAAUAAAGAAAAAAUUAUUAUUGUGUAAUGAAAACAAUGGAAAUUGUUUGAAUACCUUUCUGAAAAAUUGAUGAGUUUGAUGAACUAGUAUCGAAUCGCUUCGUUGUGAACCAGAAUUUGUUGUGGCAUAUGUGAAUCCUGUGUUAACAGGCAAAUCUACAAAUAUAAUGCUACUCACCUAUACAUAAAAAUAAUUUAUUUUUAAAAGACAAAUAUCUAAAUGUUUAAAUAAAAUGAUUAGAUGAAAUAGAUACAAUAAAGCCAAAAAUAUUAAAAUUAGGCUACACAAAAGAAUUAAACCCCAACCUUUGUCCAUGAAUGUGGUUUCAGUAUCAGAUUAGGCAAACUCCCAUUAUACUCCUCCUUUUUAAAUUCAAGUGGACCUACAAUGCAACAUCUCAAAUUUUAAUUAUUUUGCUUAAUUAUGUUAUUUUUCCUAAUUAAUUUAACUAUCGAUAGAUAAGCAUUUGAUAGAAAAACAUUUGGGAAAGGGAGUCCGCUAAGUCUGUGCCACGAAAACUCUAAAAAAAAAUAGGAGGACAUAGUGCAAGCCUAUAACUUUAAUCUAUUCUCUAUUCGCGGAUACUGUAUUAUUAAAGUUAAAAAUUACAAAAUUUUAAGUUGAUGUCUGGCUCAAUAAAUUUUUUUUAAAAAUCGAAUCAAUCGAACCAAACUAAACUGCAUUAAUUUGGUUUGGUUCGAUUUUACUUUUAAAAGUCAAUCGAAACAAAUUAAACCACAUAUUUUUUUCUUUUACAAUUCGGAUGAUUUUUGACUUCAAAAUCAACCAAACCGCACUGCAAAUACCCCUAAUCUCAUCCCACAAAAUAGUGCGAACAACACAUACAUGCUCACGAGUCAGACCCAUUUUACCACCCGUAAUAUUUCAUAAUAUUUUUUCCUCCUAUACAAACAAUUAAGGAAUGAUUUUUGAGUUUUUUCUUAUAUCUUUCAAAUCAUCUCACUAACACCAUCUAUUAUAUUUUAUAUAAACUAUUUAAGGAAUGUUUUGUUCUUUUUUCUUCUUUUUCUCAUUCUCUCUACCGACCACCAUUUCACUAACCCAAUUGAUUAUAUUUCACUCAAUUUAUCUUUAACAUAAACUUCAAAUACUUACUGCAAGAGUAUCUAAAGCAAAGCUGCAAUUACCAAUUUCAAAGACAAGGCCAGACAAAGCAGAGCAACCAGGUCCACCAGUGAGCCAAAGCAUGAGAGGAUCUUCCUUUGGAUUGUUUUCUGAUUCAAUGAAAUAAUAAAACACUUGCACAUCCUCUUUUUCACCAACUC
rnacentral:lncRNA from 1 species